AACAUAGAAAAAUAUAAAUGAAGAUUAAAUAGAGACAAUAAAGAUAUACAAUAUAAAUAAAUGAAUGAAGAGCUGUACAGUUUAUGCAGUAAUGUGCAAAAUAUUAUCCUGGGAAUGUGCAAGUUUGUAGUAUGACACAUAAAAGAAAUUUGCAAUGUGCAAGUUCAAUUAAAGUAGAGAAGCAACGGUAAAAUAAAAACUCCUUUUAAGGCCCAAUAUGGUUUGUAUUAUCCACAAAAAAAGGCACAAAAAAAAGGUAAUUUAACUUGAUUCACUACUCGAACAUGAAUGAAACUGAGCUACCAGCAAGAUACUACAUAAUUUAUUUAAACUGCUAAUUUAAUCUCAUAUAUUUCACUGCUCCCCAGCGCAUAUAAUAUUUCAUUUCUGCCAACAGAUCCUCCUUUAAUGUUACACACUGGACCUUUAACUGAAGCUUCAAAGAUAUCAUAAUUCAGUCCUAACCAGCAGUGGACUCCUUUCAUGAGAAGUAGUGUAAACUGUGAGAAGUGGGUGCGCUGAGCACAGCUGAAGCUGCGUGGAUGGGAGGUACUCCUGCAAGUUAAGGGGCCAGAUGUGUGAGAGGAGGGGUACCAACUCAUCCAGACAACGGCUACAAAAUGCUUCCUGGUCAAAGAGUUUGUUAAAAAACAAACUGCACAAGUUGAAAGCUUCGACCUCCGACUGAACGCCUCUAAUCUCAGCGUCGAAGGAGAGUGUGACCAAGCAGCAGAGAGCAGCUGCAGAAAGAGAUGGAAUUUGGAGUCAGGUUGGUGGCUCAGGAAGAUCCAAUCAUUCCAUUGUUAUCUGGGAGAACGAUGGUGAUGUAGUUGUCCUUGAAGACAGAAGGGGAACUGAGUGCACCUGGACACCCGCUCAUUCCAUAGCUACAGUAGUCCAGUGGCUUGCAGCAUUUUCAACAAAUAUUCCUGGAGCAAUAUGACAGCGGGUUAUGUAAGAGGUAGAUUUAGCCACAAGGGAUCUAUACCUGCCAGUGCAAAAAUAUCCAUGCCAUAAUGUUGAGGGUGGGUGGGUGGGUGAGUGAGUGCAGUAUUUUUGUCAUCUGUCAGAUAUUGGAAUAGUGAGUAAAAAAGUAAAAAUUUGAAGCAUAUUCAUGCCAGAUUACUUUUCUUUUUUACAUGAAGCAGGGCAAGGGAAAUGGAAAUGAGAAGGAAAAAGACCAAUAUGGAUUCAACAGGGACAUGAAUAUGUGAAAAGGACUACUGUAGAGCAAAG
rnacentral:lncRNA from 15 species